UGGGGAAUAUUGGACAAUGGGCGAAAGCCUGAUCCAGCCAUGCCGCGUGUGUGAAGAAGGUCUUCUGAUUGUAAAGCACUUUAAGUUGGGAGGAAGGGCAGUAAGCGAAUACCUUGCUGUUUUGACGUUACCGACAGAAUAAGCACCGGCUAACUCUGUGCCAGCAGCCGCGGUAAUACAGAGGGUGCAAGCGUUAAUCGGAAUUACUGGGCGGAAAGCGCGCGUAGGUGGUUCGUUAAGUUGAAUGUGAAAGCCCCGGGCUCAACCUGGGAACUGAAUCCAAAGCUGGCGAGCUAGAGGAGGGCAGAGGGUGGUGGAAUUUCCUGUGUAGCGGUGAAAUGCGUAGAUAUAGGAAGGAACACCAGUGGCGAAGGCGACCACCUGGGCUCAUACUGACACUGAGGUGCGAAAGCGGGGGGAGCAAACAAG
rnacentral:rRNA from 1 species